rnacentral:rRNA from 1 species
UACGGGGGGGGCAAGCGUUGUUCGGAAUUACUGGGCGUAAAGGGCUCGUAGGCGGCCAACUAAGUCAGACGUGAAAUCCCUCGGCUUAACCGGGGAACUGCAUCUGAUACUGGAUGGCUUGAGUUCGGGAGAGGGAUGCGGAAUUCCAGGUGUAGCGGUGAAAUGCGCAGAUAUCGGGAGGAACACCAAUGGCGAAGGCAGCACUCUGGGACGUGACUGACGCUGAGACGCGAAAGCGUGGGGAGCAAACAGGG